rnacentral:piRNA from 1 species
UGGAUCUACAAGCAUAAGGCAUCAUGC